CGGGGCUGCCCGCCCGCCUGUCCCCCCCGGCAGACCCGCUGAGGGGCCGGCGACUUCUCCCUCUCUCUCUCUCCGCCCUCCCUCUCCCUCUCUCUCUUCCUCCCUUCCAGCCCCUCUGUGAGGCUCUCCGUCCUCGCAUCAGCCCCGCCGCAGAGCCGACCCCCGCCUCGCCCCCCUCACCCGCUCCUCGCCAUCCCUUACAUAAGAGACUUCCCGUCCCGGCGGGCGCUCCCCACAGUUAUGCUUAACAAGUCAAGUAACAUGAAAGAUUUCCUGAUUUCACACCAUCAUCUUCCACUUUCAAGACUGCAAGAAUUUCAAGACUUCUCUUUUUGACAUUGCUCUAAGGCAAGUAAUAAUUGUCUACUUUUCUACAGAUUUAUCCCAUAAAGAAUGUUUUUUGCCUCUGCAGUAACUGAGAGGAUGAAUGUUUCAACCUGAACCUACAGAGUUCUCUUUACUCAAGUGUAUACCCAUUUAAGUGGGUGGAAUUCUUACUUUAGGCACCAGCUGUAUAAAAAUUGUUAUGAUUUCCCUCUAACUUCUUUGACUUGCUUUCACCAAGAUGAUGCGAAUCAAUGGUAAUGCUUGUAGUUCAACUUUAACCUAGAAAAUAGGCACCUUUUCCGGUAAUAACAUAUACUCAUGUCACAGGGAAGCUGCAUAUACACUCAUACUCUGUUUGCUGAAUUCUGUAUGGAAUUAUAUCUAGAACUGAUUCUUGCAUGUUUUUUUAUGUAAAUAAGAGAGUUUCAAAAAGAGUAAAAUUAGGAGAGAAAGUCAGUGAGUUAACCUGAAUAUUGAGGUGGUGGCAAAUAUGAAUAAUAUAAAACAACUAGAUCAUAUGGAACAAUUGCAAUUAUUAUGUUCAAAAUUCUGAAUUUAAUUUUUUUUUAUAAUAACAGUGUUGAUGCAACCUUUGAGUAAAUCCCUGGGACUGAUUACCUGACAGAGAGAAUAGUCUUUUGCUGAGCACUGAGUCAAUGGAGCUUUCUAGCUAACCAUUAUUUCCCAAAAAAUGCCCUAUAGCUCAAUAAUUUCUAUUAACAGACAUUCCAGAGCUGUGAAUACCUGUCAAAAAAAGCACCUAGACAGGCCUGAUCUCCAGCAGUAUUGAUGUGGAAGGUAUUUUGUGAUAAGAAAUGUCGUGUGGAAAUUGGAAUGAAGCAGUCAAUGUCUGUUUCCUUGGUAGUCACUUCAUGCUGUAGUGGGGUGUCUGGAUGUAGAUCCAAAAUGUUUCGUGGCUAGAGAACAGAAGAAGUGAUGAUUCUUCUGUGCCAGAUCAAGUGGCAGCAGGUUUGCAAUCAUUGCCUUUAAAAUAACAGUUUAGUGGUGGAAGAUGUCUGCUGGGUAGCGCUAGGGAAGCUUGAGACCUGGAAGAAGUGUCUUAGCAGACAUGAGUUAAAGAACUCUUCCAAGAAAAAGAAGUGUAUUUUAUCAAGGAGGCUACAAGUGACAUAAUGUUUAUAGAUACUGAAAAAAAGUCCUAUGAUUCACAAAUCCUGUAAAUCACAGUAUCACACAACACAGAAGUUUGGAGUUUUUUUAACAGCUCUACAUUCUUGAAUUCAUGUAGAUCAGACAACCCCAUUUGCUUCUAACAAGUUCUGUCACUCCUCUAUGAGCAGUGACCUUCCCCAGAGGUAUUAGUCUUGCUGGGUGGUUAAAAUGCAUUUGGUUUUAGUUACACAGCACACACUUCAUAAGCCUUUGCUCUUUUAACCAAUGACUGCAAUCAUUAGUGUAUCAGUACAACAAUGUGUGAAAUCCCAACCUGCAUUAUUUUGACACUAAAUACACUUCUGGUUUUAUAAAUAGUGAGCACACAUCUUCUAACUAACCUUUCCCUUUUCAUAAAAAAAGAUGCACAUAUGGACUAGGACAGAAGCAGCUUGUUCUCAUAAUUUCAUGGAUUCAUAGCAAUAUUAAUAGGAACAUCUCACAAACAUUGAGCACUUCUUUGUUAUUGUCAUAAGGUCUCAAAAAAUACACUUUGCAUGUAGCAAAGGGAUCACCAUCAAGAGAUUUUAAUGAGUCAAGAGGUGCUGCAUGAGUGAAAAACUAUGAGAGACUUGAUUUUAUGGCUUACUGAAGAGGAAUAUAAUUUAUUGCAAUUCUAUAAUGUAGAAAUUACCUUUAUAACCUAAUAUUUUUCCUCUUCAGUCUUCUUGUAAAACCUAAACUGUAGUAAUUACGUGGGUUGGGUUUGAGGCAGGCAGUAACAGCAACCACAUUUGGAGUGGACUUCAUGAAAUCCCAAGAGUUCUUGUAGCUUCAGCUUAAUUCAAGGAGAUUAAGAAAAUUCAGAUAAAUUUAGAAGGUAAAUAGUGUACUUGCAAAUAAACAUACAAGAGCAAAUACAUGUAUAGUCCAAAUGUCUUCAGUAUACAGCAGUAGGAAAAAAGUGCCAACAGGUCUAAAGCAGCUUCCAGCAGUGCAGCUAUAAAAUGAGCUGUGCCCUCGGGUUUGCCUGUUGCACAGCUACUACUCUGAUCCUGAACAAGGAAAGCUGACAGCCACUUUCUCUCUUUGGUAAAACUGAUGUUACUUCUGAAUUGUAGCAAUAUUGCAAGUACCUGUGAACAAGCUACGUUUCUACUUGUUAUAAAUUAGACUGACAUGGAAUUUAGAUCUGGAAUGAUUGACUGGGUGUCUGAGGAUUACUGCAGCUGAAGAAAAGGCUCUGCAGAUCAUUGCAAACUUGUGCCAACAAAAUCUUUAUCUUGUUAACAAAAAAAAAAAAAAAAAAAAUAAAAGCCACACAGGAUCAAAAAAAUUGGAACUGCUUUUGUAUCUUUCCAACUGAAAAGCAAACCACCUUUGUUCCCAUGAGUUCAAAUUUUCAAGGCAGAAAGGAAGACUUUCUAAACAGGCCUAAAAUAGCAUUAAAAAUUGUCAAGGUUAAAGUGAGUAUAAUAGGCUGUAUACUGUGCCUGAGCAUAGAGAAGCUGUGCUUAGAUAUAGAACAGGGCACAUAGGAGAGAAAAUUUUCUGAUCCUUUGCUGUUUGACUCUGUUGAGGAGCUGAUCCAACCAAUACCUCUUCUAAAAUUCCUCAGCAACUGAGAUAAAGAUGUAGACAAGUUUAGUCUACAUUGUGCAUUCUUCAGGGCUGGAACACCCAUGGACAAAGAGCAGAACAAUAAGUCAAAUAGAUGAGUCAGUUAAAGUCUGCCAGUUUCAGCACUAAUAACCCUCAAGGGCUAUAGAAGUGAGCUGUAAACCUCAGAAGUGAACAACUUGCUCUUCACAGAAAUGUAAAGUUGCUGUAUUACUUCACUAACAAAAUAUUUUAGCCACCAUAUAUUUUGCAUGUCUUCCAAAAUGUUCUGUCAAGCAACCAAAAUCAAAAAUUCUUACUGAAAAUUAGACCUUUUCAGUGUGCCUUCCUGAUAAUAAGCUUUAAUGAUGUCUCCUUGUAUCACUGUCACAACAUGCCUAUCAGGAGCUUGAUAUAUUUUGAGUCUUACAUAUAGUACUAAUAUAUAGAUGCAGGAACUUUCAGAUUUAUGAAUAAGAAAAUUUCUCUUGACAGUUCCAUUUUUAAAGGAUGCUAACUGUUAAAAAGAUGUUCAGGAUUUUAAAAUGCUAAGUCACAAGACAGAUGAAAUAAGUGGUACAAAGUAAUUAUGGCCAGAGUUCUGUGAUACCUUUUUCAUUCUAUGACAGAGUUAUCAAUGUCAGAUGAUGCUGUCACCAGUUUUCAGGUGGCUGUCAGAUUCACUUAUGUGACUCUAGGCCCGGCCAAGAGGGCCAGAUGUCAAGAAGGUUAAACAUCCAUGGACCAACUCAGUAUCUACUAAAUUCAACAACUGUCUUCUCGCUAAUUUUAAAUGGAAACUGCACUGCACUGAGUGAUUUUUCUCAUGAGAUGCUGAAUAAUCACAGCUUCCAUGAAACCACCAGAUGUCUGAGUGGUCAGUACAUCUGAAAACCGGGUCACAUAUUUGAAAGCCAAAUAAUGAAUUCAGAAACUAAAUUUAGGCCCAUAUGUUGGAAAGCUGUUGACGUGCACAAAUACACACGCAGGUUCCAGACCACACUUUUUGGCAGAUGGCAGCAACUGUCCCUUCUUGACUCCACUUGACAGCCAACUGUAAAGAGCAGUGCUAAAGCUGGCUCCAAAGGGCUUUGCUUCUCUGUCCUUUAGCAUGAAAGCCAGGGAGAAGAAAUAACCUAUCAACCAGAUAUACUGACAGAUAGAUCAAAAACCCACAAAGAUUUAAAGGUGGAAGAAUAAGUGCCAUUUCUUAUGUUUUCCUUCUAGACAGCAUUCUGAUAAUAUUAACAGUGUUCAUCAUUAGUAUUUCUGAGCACAGUGCAAUUCUGUUACACCUACAUAAAUGCAAUAUCUAUCUAGAACAUCUGUCUAGGUACUCUGUUAUACUAUCUUGAAUGAAAAGGCAUCAAUCUAAUUUCCUUGCUCUUUGCAUAAAGCCAAUAUAAAACUGAAAAUUUAAUGCUUAGAGUAACCAAUGUGUAGCAGAACAUUUUUAAUUUUUUUUGUGAUUUUAUAAUAUAUUUGCCUAGAGUUUUUUUAUUAUUGUGAAAAUGCAGUGAUCCCACAGCUGGAUAAAUAAUAGGACAAAUAAAAGGAUUUUAACUACAUUGUGAAAUGCACAUCAGGGAGUCUUAAGAAGUGCUACAAAAAGAUGCUGACAGAAGAUUCUUGUGGUAUCUUUUUGUUGUAGUGUUUAUUUAAAUCAGCAGAUUAUCUCUAACCUGCUAAAUAUAAUCCAAUGUUAAUAAAAUAUUUAGGAUAUCUGUUCCCUAAUACAUAUAUUUUGGAGAUUAUUGCAGAGUACAAUAAGGUUAAACCCAGUUUUAUCACAAAAUACUGGUAUCUGAGAGUUCAGCUUCAGAAUGGAUUGCUUAAUCUGUAAUCAAUAUAGACAAGUAACACAGGAGUAAAAUGUAAAGAAGCUGUAAAAUGACUAUUUCAGUGUAAUAUAGAAAUAAUAGAUAUGUAUGUACUUAUACAUAUAGUUACAUAUAUAUAUACACACAGACACACAUAGACACAUCUAUAGGGACAGUUAUAACAGAAUACUUGGUAUGAGGACAAUUCACAAUUUUCUUGGGUGUGUGUGGGAAUUAGUCUGCUAUUCACCCCCACACACCUGACAGAAAGCUGACCUUUUUAAAGGAAAUUUUGUAAUUUCUAUACACCUUGAACCCUUAAAUAGGAUUUUCCAGUUUAACAAAUUCUCCCUAUGAAUUUAGGGAUUGAUCUUCUUUAAAAAGAAAAAAUAACAAAAUUUAAAAGGAAAUUGCUCAUAAUUUCUAUGCAAACUAGAACAGUUGACAUGAGCCUUGAUUAUAUGAUUAACAAAGACAUAAUUUGGAUGGCUGAACAAUAGGUUCACUUUCCUACAUAAACAAUGCAAAUAUUUCAACACAUAAAAUGACCAUAAGUGAAAAAGAGCUGAUAUCUCAUAAUACCCAAUUAUCUCACUUGUUUCUGUUGCAAUGUUUAACUCAAGUUAUGAAAAAAAAGAAAACACUAAAACACUUGCACAGCAAGAUCAUAAAUAGAUCCUCCAUAUAAAACCUCAGCCUGGGUACAGUGUUCAAAUUUUUGGUCUCAUUGCACAGGAUGUUUUUAGUAUUUUGUCUGUUGACUAUCAAUAAGUAAUUAUUGAUAGCUGUUUGCAAACUCUUGACUCAUUAUUAUUAACAGGAAUACUACCAUUAAAUUAAAUGGAGUGAAGAUUUCACUCUAAGGAACAUGAUUUUAUAAGUUUAGUCUCAUUGAGAUGUUCUUUAUAGGAUAUAAUAUUCUAUUUCUUUCAGUGGGGCAAUUUUAUAAUGCUAAUGAAAGCAAACCCAAAAUUUAACAUUAAAGGCUACAGAACAACAACAACAAGAAACAUACAGGAAAAGUUAAAGACAAAAAUACAAAGGGCACAGUCUGAUGCUUAUUAUGUGAGAAAAUGUAGAAAUAUUUAAGGAAAUAAUAUUUCUACAUACAACACAGCUUUAAGCUCCAGCACAUCUGCUGUAUGUUCCUGAAAAUGUAUGCAGCCAGCUCUCAGGUGUCUCUGUGCAUCAAUCCAUGGAAGCCCAAGGGAGGCACGUUCUGCUGGCACAGGGAUAAGAAGAGCUCUCUGGCACACACACUCAGGGAAGCUGCCUGCACUGCUGGGGAAACCAAGAAAAAUCAGCAGUGUAUUCAACAAAUCUUGUUUCCACCUCCCUGCCUCCAUCCAUCCUAAGCAUCUUCCCUGUGCUCUGUGUAAAAGGAUGAGGGCUCCUUCUCACUCCUUUCAUGACCUUUCUGGAGCUGGAAUUUUCUGGGACAAGAGAAGAGUCAUCUCUAGACCAUGUACUGAUGCAAUUUUCUUGGCAACUGACAUACAGCUAUGGAAUUUAAUCUCGUAGGAAUCUUAGCUCCUUAAGAACAAAAUGUAAAAUCCCUUAUUUUCACCUGUUUGUUCAAUAAUCAUAACAAUGACAACAACAAAGACAUCCCUCCUAGGACUCAAGGAAAAACUACAGAUCCUUUACUGUGGUUACACUUAGAACUUGUAAAGGUGUUUUGAUACCAUGGUGAUGAACACAGCAUAAAUGCCAAGAUAGGCAUUGGAUCCAGCUGGCACCUCUCCCUCCUCCCCCACACAUCAUGGUGUUCACCACAACAAGUUUAUGAUUUUGUCCUAAAAAUCUGUUGAGUCCUGUUGGUCUUUAUGAAUUCACUUGCAG